AAUCUUCCGCAAUGGACGAAAGUCUGACGGAGCAACGCCGCGUGAGCGAUGAAGGCCUUCGGGUCGUAAAGCUCUGUUGUCAGGGAAGAACAAGUGCGGGAGUAACUGCCCGCACCUUGACGGUACCUGACCAGAAAGCCACGGCUAACUACGUGCCAGCAGCCGCGGUAAUACGUAGGUGGCAAGCGUUGUCCGGAAUUAUUGGGCGUAAAGCGCGCGCAGGCGGUCCCUUAAGUCUGAUGUGAAAGCCCCCGGCUUAACCGGGGAGGGUCAUUGGAAACUGGGGGACUUGAGUGCAGAAGAGAAGAGCGGAAUUCCAUGUGUAGCGGUGAAAUGCGCAGAGAUAUGGAGGAACACCAGUGGCGAAGGCGACUACCUGGACUGGUACUGACACUGAGGUGCGAAAGCGUGGGGAGCAAACAG
rnacentral:rRNA from 1 species